rnacentral:rRNA from 1 species
CGGUUUCCCCUUUGGGGCGGGUUCACAGGUGGUGCAUGGUUGUCGUCAGCUCGUGUCGUGAGAUGUUGGGUUAAGUCCCGCAACGAGCGCAACCCUCGUUCCAUGUUGCCAGCACGUAAUGGUGGGGACUCAUGGGAGACUGCCGGGGUCAACUCGGAGGAAGGUGAGGACGACGUCAAAUCAUCAUGCCCCUUAUGUCUUGGGCUUCACGCAUGCUACAAUGGCCGGUACAAUGGGUUGCGACACUGUGAGGUGGAGCUAAUCCCAAAAAGCCGGUCUCAGUUCGGAUUGGGGUCUGCAACUCGACCCCAUGAAGUCGGAGUCGCUAGUAAUCGCAGAUCAGCAACGCUGCGGUGAAUACGUUCCCGGGUCUUGUACACACCGA